GACGAACGCUGGCGGCGUGCUUAACACAUGCAAGUCGAACGGAAAGGCCCUGCUUUUGUGGGGUGCUCGAGUGGCGAACGGGUGAGUAACACGUGAGUAACCUGCCCUUGACUUUGGGAUAACUUCAGGAAACUAGGGCUAAUACCGGAUAGGAGCUCCUGCUGCAUGGUGGGGGUUGGAAAGUUUCGGCGGUUGGGGAUGGACUCGCGGCUUAUCAGCUUGUUGGUGGGGUAGUGGCUUACCAAGGCUUUGACGGGUAGCCGGCCUGAGAGGGUGACCGGCCACAUUGGGACUGAGAUACGGCCCAGACUCCUACGGGAGGCAGCAGUGGGGAAUAUUGCACAAUGGGCGGAAGCCUGAUGCAGCAACGCCGCGUGCGGGAUGACGGCCUUCGGGUUGUAAACCGCUUUCGCCUGUGAUGAAGCGUGAGUGACGGUAAUGGGUAAAGAAGCACCGGCUAACUACGUG
rnacentral:rRNA from 1 species